rnacentral:rRNA from 1 species
GUCCACACAGUAAACGAUGAAUACUCGCUGUUUGCGAUAUACAGUAAGCGGCCAAGCGAAAGCAUUAAGUAUUCCACCUGGGGAGUACGCCGGCAACGGUGAAACUCAAAGGAAUUGACGGGGGCCCGCACAAGCGGAGGAACAUGUGGUUUAAUUCGAUGAUACGCGAGGAACCUUACCCGGGCUUAAAUUGCAAAUGAAUUAUGGGGGAAACCCAUACGCCGCAAGGCAUUUGUGAAGGUGCUGCAUGGUUGUCGU